UAGGGAAUCUUCGGCAAUGGACGAAAGUCUGACCGAGCAACGCCGCGUGAGUGAAGAAGGUUUUCGGAUCGUAAAACUCUGUUGUUAGAGAAGAACAAGGACGUUAGUAACUGAACGUCCCCUGACGGUAUCUAACCAGAAAGCCACGGCUAACUACGUGCCAGCAGCCGCGGUAAAACGUAGGUGGCAAGCGUUGUCCGGAUUUAUUGGGCGUAAAGCGAGCGCAGGCGGUUUCUUAAGUCUGAUGUGAAAGCCCCCGGCUCAACCGGGGAGGGUCAUUGGAAACUGGGAGACUUGAGUGCAGAAGAGGAGAGUUGAAUUCCAUGUGUAGCGGUGAAAUGCGUAGAUAUAUGGAGGAACACCAGUGGCGAAGGCGGCUCUCUGGUCUGUAACUGACGCUGAGGCUCGAAAGCGUGGGGAGCAAACAGG
rnacentral:rRNA from 1 species